rnacentral:rRNA from 1 species
GACGAACGCUGGCGGCGUGCCUAAUACAUGCAAGUAGAACGCUGAAGGAGGAGCUUGCUUCUCUGGAUGAGUUGCGAACGGGUGAGUAACGCGUAGGUAACCUGACUGGCAGCGGGGGAGAACUAAUGGAAAUGAUAGCUAAUACCGCACAAGAGUAGAUGUUGCAUGACAUUUACGUAAAAGGUGCAAUUGCAUCACUACCAGAUGGACCUGUGUUGUAUUAGCUAGUUGGUGGGGUAACGGCUCACCAAGGCAACGAUACAUAGCCGACAUGAGAGGGUGAUCGGCCACACGGGAACUGAGACACGGCCCAGACUCCUACGGGAGGCAGCAGUAGGGAAUCUUGGGCAAUGGACGGAAGUCUGACCGAGCAACGCCGCGUGAGUGAAGAAGGUUUUCGGAUCGUAAAGCUCUGUUGUAGGGGAAGAACGAGAGCGAGUGUAGAAAGUUCGAUCUUGACCGUAACCUGAGAAUAAGCGCCGGCUUACUUAGUG